UCUAAUCAAAACAUUAAGACAACAUUGUCCCUAUAUCUCCUAUGAAACUCUCCAUAUAAAAGCACAUGCUUUUGUAAAACCCCUUUAAUAUUCCCUUAUGGGAAGUUUUGCUUUUACGAGUUUCCUGCAAAGGCAUACAUAACCACCCAAAGCUAAAAAUCCUAGAGGAGGUGGAAAGAUUGAAAUUCUUAGAUUUCGGUGCAAGCCUAUCUCUACUCUUAAAGCUAACCCCGGAGACUUGGAUUGCUCUAUCCUUAUAAGAACUUAUUUGGCCACUCCUUCUUGGGCCAAAUCAGGGUGUUCCAACGCAUGAUCUUGAACAAGCCACAGAUGAGGAGGCGGUGAUUAAUCUUGGUUGUUCCUCUGCUGCAAACCUAAGUCUCGAGGGUGUAGUGUCUGAAACCCAAGAGGUGGAACAUCUAGAGGAGAGCAAGACAGAAUACUCUGAUUCAUUGGUCUAUUCUUUGGCAAAAAAAGGUGUGAGUAGAAAAAAUAAACUCAGAGCUUUGGAGGUCUUGGGGAACGAAAGAAACAGGAAAGAAUAUGCAGGAAGAAAGAGAGGCCGAAAACCAAGGUCUGAGGUGGGCUCAUCCAUUCUAAGAGAGGUGACGAAAGGUUCGGCUGGAAUCGACCCAACGAUUUCAAGGCUCCAAGAGACAACGGCUAGGGAGGGCGCAGGUAGCUAUAUUACUCGAGCUACAAAAGCUUGGUUGUUAGGGAAAUCUGUCGGCUUGCGGUUUCCAAGGUCUGAUGAGGAGGCAAUAAGGGGUUUGGCGGAGGAAUUGGAGAAUGACAGGCCUGUUUAAUUUGGGGCCCUGAGAGGGCAUGAUCGGAAGUGGCUCUCAUGGAUCGUGAGAGGCCUUGGUGAAGGGGAAAGUGUUGGUCUGUUGUAGAUACCAUAUAGUCUUUCUGGCUCAAGUUGUCUAUUAUCUUUUAAUAAAGCUUAUUAUUGUAAGGGAAGCCAACUCCUCGGCUGUGUUACUAGCCAAGCGUGGGUUUAUUUCAUUCUGUCCGUUGCCGUGACAAAUUCUGGUGUAUUAUGGAAGUAUUAAUGAGAUGCAGUUUAAUCAAUUGAUUUGGCAUUCUAAAUGUCGUAUCUAUUGAUUUGACAUUCUAAAUGUUAUAUCUGUCAGAGGUUCAUGGAUUCUAUCUGGUUGUGGGUUGUGGUCCACGGGUAGUAUAUCAAAGAAGGCUUGAAAAGGUUUCGAAACUUAGUGAAUGAGAAGGCUUAUUGCUUGCAAUCUUGUUGGUGUGACUCUUCCUUGGAAACCUCUAUGGUCGUGGGCCAUUGACCAAGUUUAUAUUGUUAAUUAAGUUGUGAAGGGUUGCUGUUUGUUUCAAGUGAAGAGUUGGCCUUUGGAAUUUAUGAUAUAUGCUUGGGGCUCAACUUUGUGCAAAAUUAAAGAGCUUUUGGAGUUGUUUUAUCCUGUGCAUUUCAAUAUCUCAGAGUAUAUUAGUGUCUAUUUUUGGUUUUGAGCUUGGGCUUGAGUACUCUUUUUCCUCUCUGGGGUUUUUCCCACUGGGUUUUUCCUAUGGAGGUUUUAAUGAGGCUCUUCUCAAGCUCUCUAGUCACCAAAAUAGUACAUGGGUUGGUUUAAGCCUUUAGUCAUUUUGGCUUGGCUUGAGUUGUUUUUCUUGUCUUAUCUUUUACCAAUUUACAUGAGAGGAUUGUUCUCAUGAUUUUUAUUUUAUAUCAAUAUAAGCUUUUUG